CAGGACAGGGGCUACCAUUCUCUGCGUGCAGGGCUGUCCUCAUGCCCACGACAAGGGUCUGUGAUUUUGGUGGGAGAAGCUGAGGAGCUACAAUCCUAAUGCGUCACAGAUGGAAGUGUUGGUGGAGAGCCAAGCACACCAGUCUCAGCCUGCCCAGUGGAAGCCCAGAGGAGCCCUGUGGCUGGAGGAGCUCCUUGAAGGCAAGAGGCAGGUCUUGUGCCUUUCAACACACCCACAAGACCUUAUCUGGGAUGAGCAGAGAAUUUGAGAGGUGGACCAUUAAGAUGCAAGUGAAUUCUCAGAGAAGGGGCACCGCUUGCUGUCUGCUGGAUGGCCCCUCCUGGGAUAAGUACUCCAGGAGCCUGGGUCUACGUGCCAGCUGGUGCCCGCCCUCCUCCCCCACAGCAUCGGUCCGUGAUUCCAGCCUCACCCCCAUCACCACCCUGUGGAAGGGAAGGCCAGCGAUGUGUGAGAUGAUUCGGUUUUGCACAGCAUUUGUUACUUUUCUUCUUGUUUUAAUUAUUUUAUUGGGGUCUUAUUGGUUUACAACGUUGUGUAAAUUUCAGGUGUACAUCACUGUGUUUCAGUUUCUCUAUAGAUUGCAUUGUGUUCAUCACCAACAAUCCAGUUUUUAUCUGUCACCAUACAUAUGUGUCUCUUUACGCCUUUCACCCUCUCCCCACCCUCUUCCCCUCUGGUAACCACUAAUCGGUUCUCUGUAUCUAUGUGUUUGUUUAUCUUCCACAUAUGAGUGAAAUCAUAUGGUAUUUGUCUUUCUCUGUCUGACUUAUUUUGCUUAGCAUAAUAGCCUCAAGGUCCAUUUAUUUUGUUGCAAAUGGCACAAUUUUGUCUGUUUUAUGGCUGAGUAGUAAUGUAUCGUAGAUAUAUUAUCUAUAUCACAUCUUCUUUAUCCAUUCAUCUGUUGAUGGGCUCUUGGGUUGCUUCCACG
rnacentral:lncRNA from 1 species